rnacentral:rRNA from 1 species
UACAGAGGAUGCAAGCGUUAUCCGGAAUGAUUGGGCGUAAAGCGUCUGUAGGUGGCUUUUUUAAGUCCGCCGUCAAAUCCCAGGGCUCAACUCUGGACAGGCGGUGGAAACUACCAAGCUUGAGUACGGUAGGGGCAGAGGGAAUUUCCGGUGGAGCGGUGAAAUGCGUAGAGAUCGGAAAGAACACCAAAGGCGAAAGCACUUUGCUGGGCCGAAACUGACACUGAUAGACGAAAGCUAGGGGAGCAAAUGGG